rnacentral:piRNA from 1 species
UGCCUUGGUCUACUCCUGCUAUGUAG